rnacentral:rRNA from 1 species
AGUAAAGGCCUCGGCCGGUGAUGGAUGGGGAUGCGUCCGAUUAGCUUGACGGCGGGGUAACGGCCCACCGUGGCACCGAUCGGUAGGGGUUCUGAGAGGAAGGUCCCCCACAUUGGAACUGAGACACGGUCCAGACUCCUACGGGAGGCAGCAGUGGGGAAUCUUCCGCAAUGGGCGAAAGCCUGACGGAGCAACGCCGCGUGAGUGAAGAAGGCCUUCGGGUCGUAAAGCUCUGUUGAAGGGGACGAAUGUUAGUCUUAUCAACAACGAGACUAAAUGACGGUACCUUUCGAGGAAGCCACGGCUAACUACGUG